AGUAGCGGCGAGCGAACGGGGAAGAGUCCAUAGCCGAAUCCCGUGCUUAACGGUACGGGACAUGUGGCGUAGGGGAGUCGGCACCCUUCGAGUGUCGCCGGAGGUGCAAGUCCCCAUGAGAGGGGCGUGCUACCCGGAGCGGGUGCUAGGCCCGUACCGCCUCCGUGUGACGCGCGGAGUCGUCGGCCUCCCGGGAGUCGGGUUACUUGGGAGUGUAGCCCAAAGUGGGUGGUAAACUCCACCUAAGACUAAAUAUUACCGAGAGACCGAUAGCGAACAAGUACCGUGAGGGAAAGUUGAAAAGCACUUUGAAGAGAGAGUUCAAGAGUACGUGAAACCGUUCAGAGGUAAACGGGUGGGGCCUCGAAGUCCUAAGGCGGUGGUGCACUCAGGUCGGUACUUUAGGUCCUAAUCCCUAUUGCGGCUCCACCGAGCGGAGGUCGUAGGGGUUUAGGUUAGCCUUCGAGCCCGUGCCGCACUUGCGCCCCCCGUCUAACAGGGCGUCGCGACCGGUUGGGAGGCUGUCGUAGAGAGGGUCUCGAAAGGUAGCCGCGUCGCUUAUUGCGACGGCGGUGUUACAGGCGAGCCAUUUCUUGACGGGCCGCCCGACCGGGGUAUACAAAGAACCCUCUCCUCGAGCGAUGCAUCGAGCGAACCCUUGCUUCUCGGCGUCGUAGGCGGUAGGCUGGCACCUCGUCGGUGAGCCCAACCGAAACGGCACCGCUGAAAUGACGGGGGUUCAGUAUCGCGGGAAGGUACGGGUCGGCGGCGAGUAGGUCGGCAUCCCACCCGACCCGUCUUGAAACACGGACCAAGGAGUCCAAUUCGCGUGCGAGUUCCCGGGACUUGGUUAGGCCCGAGGGCGCAAUGAAAGUGAAAGGCUUUAACGCCUGAGUCGGGAUCCGUAGUCCUCGCGGCUACGGCGCACCGACGGCCCGUCCGAGCCGGGUUCGGCUGGGCGGAGCUAGAGCACGCGGCUUGGGACCCGAAAGAUGGUGAACUAUGCCCGGGCAGGACAAAGCCAGAGGAAACUCUGGUGGAGGUCCGUAGCGGUUCUGACGUGCAAAUCGAUCGUCUGACCUGGGUAUA
rnacentral:rRNA from 1 species